rnacentral:sRNA from 1 species
AUCCAAAGCCUCUCUACCUCUUCCCUUUUCAAAAAACCACUCUCCACCGCAAAUCAAGAUGUCUCCCUGCUCUUGCAACUGCUGUUCUGGCGACUGCAGCUCCUGCUCCUGCGGCUCCUGCAGCGUAAGUCCCU